UCCUGGUUAGCUCAGUGGGUAGAGUGCCCCACUGGAAACGAAGAGGUCCCUGGUUCGAUACUGGGAUCGGGUG
rnacentral:tRNA from 1 species